rnacentral:misc_RNA from 1 species
GAAAUGCGAAAAGUAGUGUGAAUUGCAGAAUUCAGUGAAUCAUCGAAUCUUUGAACGCACAUUGCGCCCCUUGGUAUUCCAUGGGGCAUGCCUGUUCGAGCGUCAUUUGUACCCUCAAGCUCUGCUUGGUGUUGGGUGUUUGUCCCCGUCUCCGCGCGUGGACUCGCCCCAAAGUGAUUGGCAGCCGGCGUACUGGUCCCGGAGCGCAGCACAUGUCGCGCAAACGAGUGCCUUGGUACGGCGGCGUCCAUAAGCCCCUCUCUCACGCUCUUGACCUCGGAUCAGGUAGGGAUACCCGCUGAACUUAAGC